GGAUUGUGGCUCAGCGAUAGAGCACUUGCCUAGCAUGGCCGGGACCUGGGUUCAAUCCCCAGCACCA
rnacentral:tRNA from 1 species